AAAACGCCCCCACUUAUCUUGGAUAAUGGAAAGAAGGCGGUUUUUACUUAAGGGUAUUUAUUUUACCGUUACACAAUCAUGAUAGUAAACUAUUAAAUAGCCGUUUAUUUUCUAAACUCUACUGUGUAUACUUCAAUACUGCAGUUUCAAAUGAAUUGUUUAAAUUUUUAUCUACACAUUUUGGCUCCAGGGAUGGCCGACCCCCGCCCACCCUAGAACGCCACUUGCCCCUGCCCCCAAAUUAAAUAGCCUAGAUCAACCGAAGUAGAAUAAGUGAAAUGGAAUAUAUUAAGUAUGUUGCUCUUAUUGGCCUUAGCCUACAUAAACUAUGUCAAAAAAUUAAAAGCUUUUAUUUCCUUCAUAUUUUGAGGAAAAAUCACUUCCCAUACGUAGACUAGAAGCUGGAGAAAAGUUCAUCGUCCAUGGUACACCAACGGCUAGAACACGUUUCACCAAUGACCUACAAUGUAAGACUGGAAGUAAAAUGGAUGAAGCUCUCCACUUUGACUGUAGACUUGCAUUUGAUAUCUAUGAUACCGUUAUGCUUACCGAAAGAUUUAACGGUGAUUGGAGGAACACAAUACAUUAUACGCAAAACUUCCCGUUCAAAGUCAAUGUACCGUUUGUGAUGACGUGGGAGCUACGUCCUCCUAAACUGGAGGUCACUGUCCACACAGACGAGAAUAAAGAGCAAAAGUACACCAAGUUCAACCUAGAGUCUUGCUACAACACACUUUAUAUUUGGAAUGAUGUGUCUGUACCUCUUAUUCUUAUGACUUAAACAAUCAACUUACCAAUAAAAUAACAUGGCUUAAUGGAAGUCACUUAGUUACUAAAAGAGGGAGAGGUAUAAAUUCUCGGGGGUGGCUAUAACGUAACACAUGCAUACCAACACAUACUUAAACUCACAUCAGUACAUAUACCCAUACCCAUGCGCAUACAUAAACCUACACUCAUACUUAAUUUUUUUUCUUUCUAAAACAUUAUGAUUGAUAAACAAAUAUGCAUUUGCUAUUUGCUAAAAUUUUACUUAAGUAUUUUAGUAUUUUUUUAACUUAGUUUAUAACCAAUGGAACUAAUUUAAACAAUUCCUAUUAAAAUGUGAUGGAUGGCAUUAUGUCUAAAUACACGCAAACAAACACUCAUACGCCUAUGCAUGCACAUAAAUUGUUCAAAACAGUAUUACAGUUACAAAAGUAGAUUAAAAGUUAAAAUAAUAAAAUAAACACGCCUUUUUCUGGAAAAAAAAAAACCCUGUCCCCAAUCAAUUUUGUAAUUACAUAAAUAAUUCUAAAAACGUCAUUUAUUGAAUUGGUGAGUGAUUAGUCUAAUUUUAAACAAUUGUGCCAUUUUUUGACGGAUAUUUUCAUUCAAUAUUUAUUUUUACAUAUAUUUCUUUGUGUUCUUAAGGUUUAAAGAGAAUAUACUUAUAUUUAAAAUUUGGGAUAUUGUGAUUUUA